rnacentral:rRNA from 1 species
ACACGGGGAUGCCUUAGUACGGCGAGUGAAGCGGCAAAAGCUCAAAUUUGAAAUCUGGUACCUUCGGUGCCCGAGUUGUAAUUUGGAGAGGGCAACUUUGGGGCCGUUCCUUGUCUAUGUUCCUUGGAACAGGACGUCAUAGAGGGUGAGAAUCCCGUGUGGCGAGGAGUGCGGUUCUUUGUAAAGUGCCUUCGAAGAGUCGAGUUGUUUGGGAAUGCAGCUCUAAGUGGGUGGUAAAUUCCAUCUAAAGCUAAAUAUUGGCGAGAGACCGAUAGCGAACAAGUACAGUGAUGGAAAGAUGAAAAGAACUUUGAAAAGAGAGUGAAAAAGUACGUGAAAUUGUUGAAAGGGAAGGGCAUUUGAUCAGACAUGGUGUUUUGUGCCCUCUGCUCCUUGUGGGUAGGGGAAUCUCGCAUUUCACUGGGCCAGCAUCAGUUUUGGUGGCAGGAUAAAUCCAUAGGAAUGUAGCUUGCCUCGGUAAGUAUUAUAGCCUGUGGGAAUACUGCCAGCUGGGACUGAGGACUGCGACGUAAGUCAAGGAUGCUGGCAUAAUGGUUAUAUGCCGCCCGUCUUGAA